AUGUUUCGUCAAAUAGUUAAAUUGGCCAAUAAUAAAGGAAGAUUGAAAUUUGUUGAGACACCAAGAGAUGACGAGUCUAUUUCAACUCAUCCCGAUGGCAAAGGGUUUUUGCAUCGGCUGCUUCAAGCCGAUCCACUAAAAAGUAAGGCAAAAACUAUAGGUGUUGCGAUCAAGCUUUCAAGUACUGAAAUUGUUGAAGAGAACAAUGAACAUAAUAUUGAGGGCGAGAAUUCCUUUGAAGCUACAACGAAUACGCCAAGGACUGGGGGGCAACAAGAAAAUCCAAAGAACGAUGCAAGUCAAGACAAAGGAGAUAAAGGCCGCAAUAAGCACAAGUGCAAGAAAUCCAAAGUCACUUUUGCAAAAUUAUUAGAUAAAUAUCAAAAGAAGAGUGAAGGAAAAGAUGCUUAUCAGCUAACUAAUGCAGAAGCAUCAAGACCACCCUCUAGGCGCAAAUGCAAGGAUCGGUAUUGGCAAGAAGAGAAUUUGAAUGCAACUUAUUCAUAUCCUUAUUUUGGGUCACCAGUGUCAAUGUCGUGGAUGCCUCCAUAUGCUCAAGUAAAUCCAUAUCCAUCAUGGGACAGGUAUGCUGCAAGGGCACAUUCUCCAUCUUAUUUUAGACCAUCUCAUGAAUAUUAUGUAGCUCUGAGAAGAUCAACAUUUGAACAAUCACAUGUUAAAGACCGUUUCAAUCAUAAGGAAUCGGUCUGGAGCUCAAGCAAGAAGAAAGAGGUGGUCAAGCAAGUUUACCGCGUUAAAAGAGAUGCUCGUAAGAGUGCUACUUAA
rnacentral:rRNA from 1 species